AAAAGACAAUAUAAGUUUUUGAGUAAUAGAGGGGGUGACAAGGU
rnacentral:guide_RNA from 1 species